rnacentral:rRNA from 1 species
UACAGGGGGUGCAACCGUUGCUCGGAAUUACUGGGCGUAAAGCGUGCGUAGGCGGUUUGUUAAGUCCGUUGUGAAAGCCCUGGGCUCAACCUGGGAAUUGCAGUGGAUACUGGCGAGCUAGAGUGCGGUAGAGGAUGGUGGAAUUCCCGGUGUAGCGGUGAAAUGCGUAGAGAUCGGGAGGAACACCCGUGGCGAAGGCGGCCAUCUGGACCAGCACUGACGCUGAGGCACGAAAGCGUGGGGAGCAAACAGG